GCGCGAAAACUUUACAAUGCACGAAAGUGUGAUAGGGGGACUCAAAGUGCUUAUGCUUAGCAUAAGCUUUUGCCAAGUCGAAACUGCUUGGCGAAUAAGUGGUGGGCAAGACUGGUGCCAGCCGCCGCGGUAACACCAGCGCCACGAGUGGGAAUCGCUAUUAUUGGGCCUAAAGCGUCCGUAGCACGCUUAUUAAAUUACUUGUGAAAUCGCGCCACUUAAUGGUGCGGAUGGCAGGUAAGACUGGUAAGCUAGAGACCGGGAGACGUUGGAGGUAUUCAAAGGGGAGCGGUAAAAUGCGAGAAUCCUUUGAAGACCACCUGUUGCGAAGGCGUCCAACAAUAACGGGUCUGACUGUGAGGGACGAAAGCUAGGGGAGCGAACCGG
rnacentral:rRNA from 1 species